rnacentral:rRNA from 1 species
UACGUAGGGAGCGAGCGUUGCCCGGAUUUAUUGGGUGUAAAGGGUGCGUAGACGGGAAGACAAGUUGGUUGUGAAAUCCCUUGGCUCAACUGAGGAAUUGCAACCAAAACUAUCAUUCUUGAGUACUGGAGAGGAAAGUGGAAUUCCUAGUGUAGCGGUGAAAUGCGUAGAUAUUAGGAGGAACACCAGUGGCGAAGGCGACUUUCUGGACAGUAACUGACGUUGAGGCACGAAAGUGUGGGGAGCAAACAGG